rnacentral:piRNA from 1 species
UGUGUCCAGCCAGCAGACCACAACCUGG